GUAGGUGCCUAUGAGAAAUCACCAAGAAGGCUGAGGGAUGAAGUGACCCCACCUUUUCAUCCUGCUCCUGUACUACUGAGCUGGCUGCAAACAAAACACAGUGGGAGCCUUGCCAGGCAAUGGUGUGGUUCCCCUGAGGUGCUGCUAAGUGCUCUACAGAAAGGAACUGGUGACCGGGAGGCUCUUGGAAGGAGAGAGAAACUGGGACUUGCCAGGGAACAGGAAGUAAAUGGAGUGUCUUGAGGAGAUGCCUUGUAGGGAGAGCUGACUGCCAGCCAAAAACCCGUCCAGCUACAAAAGCAGCUGUUUCAGCCCAAAGAAUCUUUUGGUUGCAGCUGGCUGUGCUGUGCCCUGUCUCAGCCUCCAGAGAGCCUGUGUCACAGGACAGGAGACCUUUCAGCUGGAGAAGUCAGCCGCUGUUGAAGCUUGACCCAGAUUCUGAGGGAACUGCCAGCCCUUCCUGAUCCCUGACCCUUGAGAGGUCUCUAUGGAGAGCUGAUUCUUUGGAAAGACUCAUCUUGGUGUGAAACACUUCCUCAACUACCAGUGCAGCACAACAAGAGCAUGUGGCCUUGGGGAUAUCCUGUCUGCCCACUGGGGAAGGUGACACGGUGUAUCAAAGCUGUGCCUUCCUUCACAUCUCCAGUGCGGUAAAUAUGUUAUCACCAGCUCAUUAGUUGCAAAAUUAAUUAGCAUUCCAGCCAUGGGAUGUGAUCUGUUUCUCAACUCAGCAGGCUGGCCAGGCAGGAGCUUCUGUCCAGCCUGAGGAAAGGAUGUUUGGG